rnacentral:rRNA from 1 species
AGAGUUUGAUCAUGGCUCAGAUUGAACGCUGGCGGCAGGCCUAACACAUGCAAGUCGAGCGGUAGAGAGAAGCUUGCUUCUCUUGAGAGCGGCGGACGGGUGAGUAAUGCCUAGGAAUCUGCCUAGUGGUGGGGGAUAACGUUCGGAAACGGACGCUAAUACCGCAUACGUCCUACGGGAGAAAGCGGGGGAUCUUCGGACCUCGCGCCAUUAGAUGAGCCUAGGUCGGAUUAGCUAGUUGGUGAGGUAAUGGCUCACCAAGGCGACGAUCCGUAACUGGUCUGAGAGGAUGAUCAGUCACACUGGAACUGAGACACGGUCCAGACUCCUACGGGAGGCAGCAGUGGGGAAUAUUGGACAAUGGGCGAAAGCCUGAUCCAGCCAUGCCGCGUGUGUGAAGAAGGUCUUCGGAUUGUAAAGCACUUUAAGUUGGGAGGAAGGACAGUAACCUAAUACGUUGUUGUUUUGACGUUACCGACAGAAUAAGCACCGGCUAACUUCGUGCCAGCAGCCGCGGUAAUACGAAGGGUGCAAGCGUUAAUCGGAA